AAAACGGAAUAAGAAAUUCACAUUUGCUAACUGUUGCUCCAACGGGUAAACAUAUUGCCCCCAGUGUUCGUAAGAGCGCUGCGUAAACCUUACUGUAUGCGGGAAACACCGAGAAUAUCUUAGUACCUGUACCUUGCCAGUACGUUUAGGUAAAAAUCUAAGAUUGCGGUCAAUCCGCAGGGAAGUCGUGGCUGACCCCUCAACGACUAUACGUAGGGCAACCAUUGAUAAUGGUUGAAGGUAGAGUCUGACCCAUAUGGCGACAUAUGG
rnacentral:ncRNA from 1 species